AAUAUUGCGCAAUGGGGGGGACCCUGACGCAGCGACGCCGCGUGAGCGAUGAAGGCCUUCGGGUCGUAAAGCUCUGUCUUCAGGGAAGAAGAAAGUGACGGUACCUGAGAAGAAAGCGCUGGCCAACGAAGUGCCAGCAGCCGCGGCAAUACGAAGGGGGCGAGCGGUGCCCGGAAUUAUUGGGCGUAAAGGGUGCGUAGGGGGCUUCUUAAGUCAGAUGUGAAAGACCACAGCGUAACUGUGGGGUUGCAUUUGAAACUGGAGAGCUUGAGUUUCGGAGAGGGUAGUGGAAUACCCGGUGUAGCGGUGAAAUGCAUAGAUAUCGGGAGGAACACCAGUGGCGAAGGCGACUACCUGAACGACAACUGACGCUGAGGCACGAAAGCUAGGGGAGCAAACA
rnacentral:rRNA from 1 species